rnacentral:tRNA from 1 species
GUUGUGGCUUAGCGGUAGAGCACAUGCCUAGCAUGUGUGAGGCACUGGGUUCGAUUCUCAGCACCACA